CGGGUAACCACUUACCCCUUUCUUCCUGUUUUUCGUCUAAUCUUGUUAGAAGAGUCGUAAAAGUAUCAGAAAUCAUCUGCCAGACAGCCGGCGGAGGUCGCGCUACUGCACUCAUGGUAAUGGGAGCGGCUGCACUGGACUUCACUGAGCCGAAAGUCAUUUUAACUGUUUAAUGUUGUAUAUUUAGUUCUAAGUCAUGUCAUAUGCUUACCAUCGUUAUGGAAUACAAUAAAAUGAAACUCGAUAUAAUAAUAUGUAUAAUACAUUUACAAAAUAUAUUUAUAAAGAAAUGUUAUAGGAAAUACAUACUAAUAAACCAUGUUUAUAAAUGAGAAAUUUUAAUAGUAUGCUUACAUUUGAAAAAUCUUUACUGUUUACUUGUAAAUAGUAAUCAUAACAUUUACAGAGAUGGAAUGGUUCUUUUUGCAAAUGUACUUUGGGCAUUUUAUACAUUGGUAGUGUGUUUUCCUAACAUUCUUAACAUCUUUUCCUUCUAGAAUGAAAUUUUCACUCUAGAGCAGAGUGUGCACUGAUAUGAAACUUCCUGGCAGAUUAAAACUGUGUGCCGGACCGAGACUCGAACUCGGGACCCUUGCCUUUCAACGGGCAAGUGCUCUACCGACUGAGCUAUCCAAGCACGCCUCACGCCCUGUCCUCACAGUUUUAAUUCCGUGAGCUUGCCCGCGAAAGGCAAAGGUCCUUAGUUCGAGUCUCGACCCAGCACACAGUUUUAAUCUGCCAGGAAGUUUCCUUACCUUCGUUGGUUCGAUGUCUUAGAACUGGUUCUACUAUGGUUGUGGAUACAAUAUUGCAAAUAAGUUGUCAAUCAAUGAUCUCAAUUGCCUGGGAAGAUUUUGCAUUUCCUCCGUUUCACCUGGUCAGCAACAUGACCAAAAAACAAGUUUUUCAAAAAGGUACACUUUUUUUUGGAAGAGUAUCUUUUUGCAAACUGUACACUACCACUGCAUUACUUCCACAAACAUUCAGCAAUGAAUAGAGAACGCUCAUUGGCCAACGUCGAGUAUUUCUGGCCACAUCCCAGAACUGCAUAUCCUAUCCACUGUGUGAACACCAGUUUUGGUGGCGUUGUAGAAAGGAAUUAUUUCCGGCCUUUUGGCAACUGUUUCACUUUCAAUCACAGCGUCAUAAUGCAUACUAGGUAAGAGGAUAACUUUUUUUGCUUGAUGGGCAAAGAGUUUGUGUGUCAACAAAAAGGGAAUUGUGUGCAAUACAAAUUUUGUUUAUUUGCAAUUUCAGGUGAUAAUUAUUUUUAUUUUUUCUUACCAUCCCAACCAUUGUCAACCUUACGUUCAACAAUUCUUCAGCCACUGAAAAGCUACUGAACCAGUUGUCAAUUUAAUAUUUCUGCCAGUAUCGUGUAUAGGCUUCGUCAGACAUUUCACCAUUUCGUAUGGAGACAUGCCAGUCGAGAAGGGUUCAGGCGGCUGUUUCCCAGGAUAAAUUUCCAAAUUGAGGGUUAAAAGAUCCGUGCACUGGUAAGAGCAAACAUCUUUAAAACUUACCUCGCAGGUUUUGAAGGUAUAUAUUGCUUGAAAGGGCUGCUUCCUCCGAAAGCCUCAAGCUUUUCGUUAAUUGUAGCAUAUUCCAAAUAAUGUAACAAUUUUGGAAAUUACCAGCUAUUUGUUUAAAAAGUUCUCUAAUUAGAGCUAGUUUAUCACCUCUCUCGGUUUACUUAUUGGCACAGAUCCACAUUGUAACUUGUUCCUGAAGUCAAUUCUAACAUUCAAUUCAUGUUUCCAAAUGACAUUGUUCAGAGCAACAGAAAUAGUUAAGAAUAAUGCUGUAAAUGGCGAACAAUUCAACACUCACAAUAAAAGGCAAAAUUUAUCACAAGUGGACUCAUUGCUGCCAAUGCCAAACGAACCACAUAAUUUUUUACAGAUCUACUUUAUGGGCAGUGAGGGUGCAUGCAUGAAUGCAUGUUGUGGCUACAAUAACUUCAAUUCACUUUUUGCCAGAUGCAUGCAUCACUGGCGAGCUGGACGCUAUAUUGAAUGAGCACAGUGAAUUAUUGGAAAUAUUCAAAUCACACAUGCACAAAUUACAAAGCGAUAAUCACGCUAUUGUCAUUAAUCCUGAUAAAACACCUGCUGGGGAACACAUUUGUAGAUUCAAUGCACCUGUUGCUGACGGCUUUGCUGGAAUUAUGGUUGGCAAUCGUAGCGCUACACAAGAAAUCUUGAUUCGUAGAAGAAAUAAUAAUCUUCAGUUCAUUACUGAUACACACCGUUCAUAUGACACUCCAAUUUUCACUAAUGUUCUGGAAGGAACAAGAUGGAUAUUGCAUUUGCUAAGCAAAACAUUCGGCGCUCAUAUUAAUGUCGAGUUCUGCAGUUCAGUUAAGAGCAUCAAUAUGACCGUAUUUCGAGUUUGAAAUACCAAUAUGAAUGCUUCUCCAAUGAAUAAGAAUGAUGAAAUGAUGCUCUACCAAGUUGGCAAGUACUUAAGCUCCAAUGAAGCUGUUUAGUGUAUCUUUGGUUUCCCAUUUCAUCAAUGGGAUCGAGCAGUUAGUCAUUUAGCCGUCCAUCUUGAAAACAGUCAGCGUGUAUAUAACACGAACGAGACAGCGAUUGAUCGUGCUAUAAAUCCACCAAAAACUACUCACCGAAUUUUUGAAUUGUGUAAUCCUGCAGAUGCUUUUGAUGCCUUUGCAUGGACAUUACUAUAUUCAGAAACACCACGCUACUUCACAUGGGCUCAAACAUGGGGCAAGUAUUUACAGUCAAUCCAAGGCAAACUGAGUGCUUUUAUCUCUGUUGUUGGUUAAUGUCACUGGCUCAUUGUCAUUUCAAGAUAUACGUGAAGUGAAUGGACAACAGCAUCCAACAUAUAAAGAUGCAUGCCUUGCACUCAGCUUGCUGGAAGACUGCAACCAGUGGCAAUGUGUGCUUGAUGAAGCAGCACUGAACUGUACACCAAAUUCAUCUACUAUUCGCUAUAGUGUUGUAUACAUGUUUCCCAGCUCAAGCAGAGACAUUGUGGGAUAAUCACGAAGAUUCAAUGACCGAAGAUAUAUUGUGUCAACAUCAUACACGGUGCAACAAUCUAACGAUGGCAUUCAGCAAGUAUGUACAAGGAAGUAUUGACUGCUAUUGAGAAUCUUUGCAAUAUCAUUGCCAACUUACCACUCAGUCAUUUCAGUAUGUAUUCACCAAAUCAAUGUGCAUCUGAUUUAAUGAACACUGAAAUGAAUUGUGAACUGCAAUACAAUACUGUUGAAAUGGCAGCGAUUGUUACUCACAAUGUCCCACUGAUGAAUAAGGAACAAAGAACCAUUUACAACCGCAUUAUUCUCACAGUUUCAGCAGGACAAGCUGGAUUCUUUUUAUUUGGCUGCACCAGGUGGAACUGGCAAAACAUUCCUUAUUUCACUAAUUCUCGUCGAAAUAUGAUCAAAUAAUGGCAUCACAUUGGCCAUUGGAUCAUCUGGCACUGCGUCAACUUUAUUGGACGGAGGCAGAACAGUGCAUUCAGUAUUUAAGCUGCCACUAAAUAUUCAAAAUAAGACGGACGCAGUGUGCAACAUAAAAAACAAAUCAUCCAUGGCCACAGUGCUGAAACUGUAAAAUUAUCAUCUGGAGUGAAUGCACUAUGGCACAAACAUUCCCUUGAGGCACUGAACAGGACAUUGAAAUAUAUAAAAAACAACGAACUAUUUAUCGGCACUGUUACUACUUUCAGGUGAUUUCAGACAUAUACUUUCCGUCAUUCUACAUUCAACAUAUGCUGAUGAGAUCAACACUUGCUUAAAAUUAUCGCCACUGUGGCAUAAUGUUAAAAAAGUACAACUGAAUGUAAAUAUGCGCGUUCAAAUGCUCCAAGAUCCAUCCGCCGAAACAUUCUCAAAACAUUUGUUAGACAUCGGUGAUGGAAAAGUUACUAUAGUUGAAACUAGAUGCAUAUCACCACCCACCGAUUUCUGCACCACCGGACGUCAGGUCACUACCGUCACAUCGGCUAUUUCCUGUAGUGUAUAUCUGGAGAAUUGUUGGGUCUGUCAGAUUCUUGUGACGGCUGUGGAGUUAAAGAGUUGACACCCCUAGUGCGUAUGCACGCAACAUGUUCGAGCACUUGCAUUUUGGGGAGGGGGAGAAAGGCUGACAGCACUAAACUUGGGAAUGUAGGAAAGGUGUUUCUGACACUGGAUAACAAUAUCACUUAAAAAUAGAUGCAUUCUUAUUCAUAAUGUUGAAAUGUAGCCACAGAAACAUUAAAGAGUAUACACAAUCUGCAGACCAGAACAUUUAAUAACACUGUCAGUGUUUCACUACGUUGUACAAAGAUGGCAGCAGUACAAAAUUAUUUCCAGUCUUUGGUAACAAUUUGGAAAUGGAAGCAUUUAAUAAUGACAGACUUAACUGCUUCGGAUCCUGUCUUUCUGUUUUGACCCACAUGAAACAAUUAUUAAAAUGUUAAAUUUAAGAUUGUGUAUCACACAUAAAAGUAAAUCAUAAAUAUCAAAAUUUCAUUUAUCACAUACAAGCUUACUGUAAUGACAAUCACAUUCAAGACACAUAAAAGAGAAGAAAAAAGUCUGAGGUAAAACAUAUCAAUAUAAAUCUGUCUUAAAGCAUGUACCAUCUAUAAAUAUAGAAAACAAAUGGUGACUUAUUUACAAU